CAAGAAAUCCUUGACCCACGCUUAAUGAAUUGCUACUCGGAGCAAGAGGUGCAUAACAUGCUGCAUUGCGCCUCAUCGUGCAUUAGCCGGGAUCCUCAUUCAAGGCCUCGGAUGUCUCAGGUGCUUCGGAUGUUGGAAGGUGACAUAGUCAUGAAUUCAAGCAAUCAAUUUUGAAGUUCUGGCAGUCAUUCUGAAAGCAUACUGGAAACAGGUUGCGCAAGAACAACAUCAGAAGUAGCGAAGAGGCCCUGCAGCAGUCCAGUUUGGUAGAGUGGAAGCAAAGAAGAGCUU
rnacentral:misc_RNA from 1 species